UUUUAUUUUAUUUUAUUUUAUUUUAUUUUAUUUUAUUUUAGUUUAGUUUAGUUUAGUUUAGUUUAGUUUAGUUUAGUUUAGUUUAGUUUAGUUUAGUUUAGUUUAGUUUAGGGGAUGUACACAAGCAAAUGUAUGUAAAUGAGGUCACUGUCCAAAUACUUCUGAACUUGACUAUGAAUCCAGAUUGGAGUCACAAUUCUAAUUGCCUUCAGUGAAAAAAAUGGAACGACUUGUUUCCGAACAAUAACUGUUCAUCUCCUUUAGCUGAGCAAAGCUCUCAAAUUUCGCUCUUCAAGAUGGUGAACUACCUCUCUGAAACACGUUUGUCACACAUCACUCAGUAUCAUAAUGUAUUUGCAUGAUAAAGUUUUUAUUCUUGAUGAUGUUAUUCUAACAUUGAUGAUUUGCACACUUUGUUCUAUAGCGUCUCCAAUCAGCUACAAUGACCUGCAAAGUUUUGGCCAUCCAAGUAAAAUAAAUUAAUCUGUUGUUCAGAUAUCUCAGAGUCACACGGCACAUCCCAAGAAGUUUGAAAAGUACAAAUAUUGGUCUGUUUUGGACAAAGCGCAAAUAAUACUGGUUAUCUGCACAAUGUUUCACUGUCCUUAACUGAGGAGAACUCUCCAUUCAUUCACAGCAGAUACCAACCAGUACCACUUCCACCUCCAAACUGUCAAAAAGCCACUGUAAGGGCUUUCUGUUAAAAACAAUAAAAAGUUUCAAAACAAACAA